UACGUAGGGGGCAAGCGUUGUCCGGAAUCAUUGGGCGUAAAGAGCGUGUAGGCGGUUCGGUAAGUCUGUCGUGAAAUCCUGGGGCUCAACCUCGGGCGUGCGAUGGAUACUGCCGGGCUAGAGGGUGGUAGAGGCGAGUGGAAUUCCCGGUGUAGCGGUGAAAUGCGCAGAUAUCGGGAGGAACACCAGUAGCGAAGGCGGCUCGCUGGGCCACACCUGACGCUGAGACGCGAAAGCUAGGGGAGCGAACAGG
rnacentral:rRNA from 1 species